GCUUUGGGGACAGAGUCAAGCAGUCCAAACUCCAUUAUCACUUCCUAAGAGAACUUAUAGCUCGAAAUGACCAGUGCACCAUUUCCAAAGACAGUACCUGAAAGUAUAAACAGCCCAGAAAAGAGGCUCCGUGGACUGCUGGAACGUGAGUGUUUCAAAAAACCACUUCAGAAGAGGGAAUACAGACCUUUUAAAGAAAAGGAUUGCCCUAAAUUGCCCUGGCCAGCUUCGAACUUGCCAUCCUCAUGCUUUAGCCUCCGGAGAAGCUGGAAUUACAGGUGUGCCCUUAGUUUUUCUAAACGUAGACUUCUUGGCCACAGACCAUUAUCUGAGCCCUGUUGAGUUCUGUGUCUGUGAUCAACAUGAAUAAUUUCAAACUCCCAAAUUUCUCCCAAGAAAACUAAGAACAUCCUACUCUAUAAAGGCAAAGCCUUCCUGUCAGUGUAAAGAAGUGAGAUUUCCCCAGCCCAGAGCCAAACCAGCCUUCCCAGGAGAUCCAACUGACUGGUGUGGGCCAGUGCCCUCCUUUUACUCACAGCCCUCAGGGGGCAACAACUCUCCUGGUGCAUUAGGUCCUAGAAAAGCAAAUUAUAGGCUGCCUCAUAAAUGGAGCUUGGCUAUUUAAUCAAUUGCCUCAGAGCUGGCAAACAGUCCUGAGUCCUGCACACAAAUGAGGAAUUUUUUAUAUGCAAUUACCCUGCCAUUUUCCUGAGAGCUGGGAUGUAAUGGGAAACCAGGAGCCCAGUGAAAAUCUGGAAAGCAGAAUGGGUUUGUCUCCAAAGAAUGCCCUCAUCGCUUUCCUUCAACGGCUGUGAAGUACGGAAAGCGCCAAAAUCCCUUUCCCUAAAUGAGGGCACGGUGUUUUGAAGAGAAAAAAAUUCAUUUUAAUCUAGCACUAAGGUAUAAGUGCACAGAAAUCCGUCCACUUGGGUCGGAAGUGUUAAUGCGGGAUUUCUCCUUUCCCACUUUUUUUUUUUUAGGCGAUCUAAGGUAUUUUCCCGCUCCCAUUUUUAGAGACCCACACCUUUAACCCAGGACCGCUGGGCUGAGGAACUUUCUUAGAAACUGGCCCAUCCGCUUUCCCUAGGGGCACCGGAGACGCGGGAGGGGGAGGGGAGGAGCCGGGCACGUGGCUGGCCCGAGCUGCGAGACCCCGACUAGAGGCAGUGGGUCCUCCUCUCGGUGGAGUUUUUUCCCCCACGGCCCCUGCCUUUUAACCCCACACCUAGGCAGCUCAGGAAUCCCGGCACAGAUUAGAGAACUAGGACUAGGACAGCGCACCCCUCGCGAAAGCGCCUCUGCCACCAACAACAGCCUGAUGGCAAAUAUGGACUGAAUCGUUGACAUGGAAACCGGACUAAAGUCUCGCUCGCUCUUCCUCACAGGAGAAUUUUAUCAUCUAGCCAGUCCGCAAGGCAUUCGGCAAACGCGGACUGGAUCUCCGGCCGCGCGGAUCAGGCUACACAGCGUGCUAUGGAUUGGGCCCAAGCCUAAAGGGAUGACCUAUGAAAAUCCCACACAGUCAACUGCAAAAUGUGGAAACAGGGCCUGGAGGCUUUGCUAGGAGAGCGGAACGCACGCAGGGAGGACGGUCCUUCCUGUCAGACCGUUUGUUUCCCCUCAACGUCUGAAAUAACAAAAUUCCUCAAAUCAACAAAAACUGGGGGUCGUCUCUCCAGCCCCGGCCCCCACUCCGUCUUAAACCUAGGGACCCCAGGGCGGGCCGCGUGGAGCUCUGGCUGAGGAGCGGAGCGUCGGCGCGGCUCGGAGCUGUGGCCCCCAGCAGGCUCCCGCCGCGACCCAGAGGCAGACGCCCAGCCGAGCGAGCGCUCCCAAGUGCGAACUGGAGCGGCGAGUUUGAGCAAAAGGGCAACUGUGUCAGUUGACGGAAGCCAGAAGUAGAGUUCAAAGCCUGGCGUGGAUUUCUGUCUGGAGCCGUCUGUUUCUUAAAGUUUGUAACUCCGUGUUAAGAAACAGCGCCAGCGGAGGCUUUGGGAUCAGUGUGAAAGUCUAGCAGUACCAUCUGACAGCGAGCUGCAAAACUUUGGGCUGCAUAUUAAGCGAG
ensembl:lncRNA